rnacentral:rRNA from 1 species
UUCGUUAACGAACGAGACCUUAACCUGCUAAAUAGCCAGGCUAGCUUUGGCUGGUCGUCGGCUUCUUAGAGGGACUAUCGCCUCAAGGCGAUGGAAGUUUGAGGCAAUAACAGGUCUGUGAUGCCCUUAGAUGUCCUGGGCCGCACGCGCGCUACACUGACAGAGCCAACGAGUACAUCACCUUGGCCGAAAGGCCUGGGUAAUCUUGUUAAACUCUGUCGUGCUGGGGAUAGAGCAUUGCAAUUAUUGCUCUUCAACGAGGAAUGCCUAGUAAGCGCAUGUCAUCAGCAUGCGUUGAUUACGUCCCUGCCCUUUGUACACACCGCCCGUCGCUACUACCGAUUGAAUGGAUG